AUGCAUGCGGUAGCUGUUGCUACACUUCCUCUUUCCCCUGUCGAUGGGAUUGUGGAAGACAAAAUGGAAGCAUGCUAGAAAAAAGCUCAUGGAGUUAACAGGGCCACCAGUCUCUCAAGAACAGACUGGUUUUGGUAGUAUAAUACUCCAACAUUG